rnacentral:lncRNA from 1 species
AAGAAGUCAGGCCGGAUUAAGCCAUAGUACGGUAAGAGCUAUGCUGCCUGUGAGCCCCGUCUAAGGACGUAAAAUGAAGUCAGGCCGAAAGCCACGGUUUGAGCAAACCGUGCUGCCUGUAGCUCCAUCGUGGGGAUGUAAAAACCUGGGAGGCUGCAACCCAUGGAAGCUGUACGCAUGGGGUAGCAGACUA